rnacentral:rRNA from 1 species
UGAGGGAAAGAUGAAAAGAACUUUGAAAAGAGAGUUAAAUAGUGCUUGAAAUUGUUGAGGGGGAAGCGUUUGAAUGCUCGAGUGCGCUUAGGCUUAUGGGUCCUUAACGGGGCUCUGUAUGUGCUAGGUGCUGGCCAGCAUGGGUUAGGCUAGUGGGACAAAAGCGUGGGUUGAUACCAUGCCGCUGCCACUGGCCUGACCAAGGCGUGAAGACUGCCCUUGUCCUUCGGGAACUGCAGUCUCAAGAUGCUGGUGAAAGGCUUUCAACCGACCCGUCUUGAAACACGGACCAAGGAGUCUAACAUGUAUGCGAGUUGGUGGGUGGAAAACCCAUGAAGCGUAAGGAAACUGACUGGUGGGAUGGCCUGUGCCUGCACCAUCGACCGACCAUGCGUUUCUGCAAAAGGUUUGAGUGCGAGCAUACCUGUUGGGACCCGAAAGAUGGUGAACUAUGCCUGAGCAGGGUGAAGCCAGGUGAAAACCUGGUGGAGGCUCGUAGAUGUGCUGACGUGCAA